AUAGAGUAGCUCCUUCAUUAGUGGACAGCGAACGGCGAGGUCUUGACUAUGGACCACAUUUUUUGUCUCUUUUAACCAAGACAUUAAUUUCCUUCUAAAGUUAAGAAAUUUACAAUGUUUUUUUCACAGAACCAUUAUUUCAAAGGAAAAUUAAAUGCUUAAUCAAAAAUUUAUUGAAGUAAUUUAUGUUAUACUGAAGAAAGAGAAUACUUUUUUCCCUACCUAGUCACUGGUAUCCUAAGGGGCUAUUCCAGCUUGUUAGCUAACACUAACCCUAAUAAGAGCAAAAAUUCGCAGAAUCUACACCCAGAUCGGAAUCAUGAUACGCUGAGAAGAACCGGCGAGAAACUCAGUGGACUAGUUCGCUUGUCGAGCUCUUCGUCGUAAGCUUCGUCGACGAGCUUGACGAUGACGAUGAACGGUGCUUGAGAGCCUAAAAGCACCGAGAGUGGCUCCGGGAGAUCCGACAAGACAAGUUUCGGGCGACAGCGGCUUUGCGUUGCCUCGUGGCGUGGGUUGGAUAUGAAUAGAAUACAAAUCUAGAGCCACGCACACAUUUUUUUAAGUUUUAUGAGAAUCCAGCAGAAACGUUUUAAAAAUUUCGUGACUACAUAUUUAGAUGAUCAGAGACGGUGAGCCUUUAAAUGUACCUAAAUCUAAAAAUAAAGCAUGGUAACUUCCAGCAUUUUUGCUAAAGAUAGACCAAAUCGUGUAUAAAGUAAAAAAGUUUAAUACGUUUUUGGUUUUUUCAGAUCAGUGGGUAAUCGUUUUUUCUUAUUACAAUACGUAAUUUUAUUUUUAGUAGUAAUAAGACGUAGUAUGGGAUCGAACGGUAUGUACGGGUAUGUGUUAUUACAACCAAAGUGCUCAUGUCUUUUAUCUCAAGGUGAAAGUCGACACAUUGGGUAUUUUUUGAUGAUUCUAGUAACCACUUAAGGCUAGAUGGGCCAUUAAUUUUUCCAUCUAUCUAGAGCAAUAAGCAAACAGUUGAUAAAAUGAUAUUCGAAUUCUCGCAAUUUACACAAACACCUGUCAUACAAGUACGCAAAACACAUGAACGUUACAUUUCCUCACAGGUAAAUUUAUGUAAGUAUUAGAAAAUUAUUGUUAAAGUACUCCAUUUCCGGAGAUACUUGGCUCGGUAAGAGCGGUUCUUUCGCGGUGUAAUCCGUCUAUCAUACCAUGCAAAUUGAAUCACGACGCUCAUCUGCUCACGUGAAUGUUUUUCCUGGAAGAGCACUUAUCGUACUUCGCAAAAGCUAUACAUAGUAUGCUUUGUGAUUAUAGCAUUGCAAAGCAAAGUAAUUUAUUUAUUUAUUUAUUUAAUCAACAAUGUUUUAACAGCAUUUAACUAGACACAGGGUACAGAGGAUGUUUUCCCAAACAUGAGCCAAUUAAAGAAACACAUUAUGUUUCCAAAAAAUGUUAACAUAAUUAAUGAACACAGGUAGUCCAACUAAGUGUAAUAAAUAAAGUGCCAACAAUUAAAUACAAAAAAAGAAACAUAAUGCACGGAGUCUCAAGAAAAUUGAAAUGAAUUUGAAUUGUGUUGAUAAAAAUAAAAUAAGAAAAACAAUAAAAGAUAUGGAACGUCCAAAUAUUUAUUAACAAUCGUAAAUGUAAACGUAAUCUUAACAAAACAUGAGAAUAUCAAUUUUUGGAAGUCGUCGUGGCCUAAAGGAUAAGACGUCCGGUGUAUUCGUAGGUAAAGGGUGAUUUUUUAGCUAUUUUCUUUUUGGCAACACUGAUUUUGAAAGCUCACGCAUGUUUCGUGUUUUGUGUUAUUGUCAAACAUCUUCAGUUUGGUAUAUAAUUUAACCAUGAAUCGUCUUACAAACGAACAACGCUUACAAUUCAUUAAAUUUUAUUACCAAAUGCGUGCUCUGUUAAGAAAGUUCAUCUCGCGUGGUUCUUCCAUUUUAUGGUCAGUUUAAUCGACCCACUGAAGCGGCUAUUCGGGCUAUUGUGACUAAAUUUCGUAUCAAAUUUACACUGUUGGACAUUAAACCACCAUCACGCUUAGGUACAGUGCGAACUGAAGAAAAUACCGCAGCUGUAUCGGCCAGUGUUAGCUAUGACCAUCAAUUAUCGAUUCGGCGACGUUCGCAGCAAUUGGGCCUCUGUUACUCAACAACGUGGAAAAUUUUGUGAAAGGAUUUAGGUGUGAAGCCUUUCAAAAUACAGCUGGUGCAAGAAUUGAAGCCGAAAGACCUACCACAACGCAGAAUUUUUGGUGAAUGGGCUCUUGAAAAGUUGACGGAAGAUGCACUUUUUUAUUUCACGUUUGGAACCGGUCAGUUGGUCGCCUAGAUCGUGCGAUUUUACGCCUUUAGACUAUUUUUUGUGGGGCUAUGUUAAGGCUCAUGUCUAUGCUGACAAGCUCACUUCGAUCAACGCAUGGGAAGACAACAUUAAGGAUUUAUUCGUGAGAUACCAGCCGAAUGUUGGAAAGAGUAUGCCAAAAUUGGACUAAGCGGAUGGACCGUUUGAGGCGCAGCCGUGGUCAACAUUUUCAUGAAAUAAUCUUCAAACAUUAAAUUAUACGGACCGUACUAUCGAUUCAAAUAAAGAUUUCAUGAUUUUUUCUAAA